rnacentral:rRNA from 1 species
GGCUCAGAAUGAACGCUGGCGGCGCGCCUAAUACAUGCAAGUCGAGCGAGAAGACGUAGCAAUAUGUUUGUAAAGCGGCGAACGGGUGAGGAAUACAUGGGUAACCUACCCUCGAGUGGGGAAUAACUAGCCGAAAGGUUAGCUAAUACCGCAUACGACUCUCGAUCUUCGGAUCGGGAGGGAAAGCGAUACCGUGGGUAUCGCGCUCUUGGAUGGGCUCAUGUCCUAUCAGCUUGUUGGUGAGGUAAUGGCUCACCAAGGCUUCGACGGGUAGCUGGUCUGAGAGGACGAUCAGCCACACUGGCACUGCGACACGGGCCAGACUCCUACGGGAGGCAGCAGUAAGGAAUAUUGCGCAAUGGACGAAAGUCUGACGCAGCGACGCCGCGUGGGGGAUGAAGGUCUUCGGAUUGUAAACCCCUUUCGGGAGGGAAGAUGGAGUGGGUAACCACUUGGACGGUACCUCCAGAAGCAGCCACGGCUAACUUCGUGCCAGCAGCCGCGGUAAUACGAAGGUGGCAAGCGUUGUUCGGAUUCACUGGGCGUACAGGGUGUGUAGGCGGUUUGGUAAGCCUUCUGUUAAAGCUUCGGGCCCAACCCGGAAAGCGCAGAGGGUACUGCCAGGCUAGAGGGUGGGAGAGGAGCGCGGAAUUCCCGGUGUAGCGGUGAAAUGCGUAGAGA